rnacentral:rRNA from 1 species
AUUGAACGCUGGCGGCAGGCCUAACACAUGCAAGUCGAACGAGUGGCGGACGGGUGAGUAAUGUCUGGGAAACUGCCUGAUGGAGAGGGAUAACUACUGGAAACGGUAGCUAAUACCGCAUACCAUCGGAUGUGCCCAGAUGGGAUUAGCUGGUAGGUGGGGUAACGGCUCACCAAGGCGACGAUCACUAGCUGGUCUGAGAGGAUGACCAGCCACUCUGGAACGGAGACACGGUCCAGACUCCUACGGUAGGCAGCAGUGGGGAAUAUUGGACAAUGGGCGCAAGCCUGAUGCAGCCAUGCCGCGUGUGUGAAGAAGGCCUUCGGGUUGUAAAGCACUUUCAGCGGGGAGGCGUGACCCGCAGAAGAAGCACCGGCUAACUCCGUGCCAGCAGCCGCGGGAAUAC